rnacentral:rRNA from 1 species
GUCUCUGGCCAUGCCACCCUGAACAUGCCUGACCUUGUGUGAUCAUACAAGCGAAGCAGGGUUGGGUCUGGCAGGCACUUGUGUAGGAGAAACACUGUGACAACCAGAACCA